GGAAUGUAUUAGAUAUUCACCUAAUCAGUAGGCCUUGAAGGGAUCCCAUGUUAGCCCCUUGAUGUUGGUCUGUAACUAAGUAAAUACUUGACCUUGAAAAAGCUUUUGGAGGCAUCAGUUCUCUCUGACUGUGUGCUACUUUUUGGAUCUGUUGAUUUGGUCAUUUGCUGAUUUAUAGUUAUUUUUCUGAUUCAGGAUGGGAUAUGGCUCCAUACAUAUAUAGGCAAUUGAUUCACAGCAGUCGUCAUGCUUCAUUGUAAUUAUAUAUACAAUACAGCAUCAGUUUUUCUUGAUUUUAAAUCUCGUAUUCUGAAGUGGUACUUCUGAUUCUCACAUGAUUUUUCCAUCUUUCAGCUAAAGUUUUUCUGUGAUCUCUUCCGUAUUAGAUGGGAGUUCACCCGUAGUCGCACAAAAGGGCGUGCUUUAGAGAUGAUGGACAAACUGGUAUGAUCUGUGAGCCUUUUCUUCUUAAAUAUUUUGUUACCUAAAUCAUUUUCAUUCAAAUUUACAAGAGUUGCCUAUGGAUCUAUAGAAGAUUCCAAACUUUCUGCAGCUAGUAGUUUCUUGGUUUCCGUACUGUCCAUCGGGUAAAGAUUGAAUGUGCAUCAUUUAUAAACUUGUCGGGAUCUUCCUUCUUAGCUUUGAGAUUGCUCCUGCAUAUAGGUAGAACCAAAGGCACAAAUGGUACUUGUUGCAAACACAAGCUCAUCCAACACUUCUGAUGUCUGCCCUUCAAUAAACCAAGUCAUUCAUACACAUGAUUCUACUAUUGGUGAUGCCUCUGAUGUUUUUGUGACCCCAAAAUUAUUGGGGAAUAGUCAUGAAUCUGAAUCUGGAGUCCAAUGCAUUCAUGCUGGUGGCUCAGCAGCCCAUUUAAAGGCAAUCCAACAGGCAGUGAUCUUGUCGAGGUGCCUUCUAAUAGAAAAGAGCUCACGGCAAGAUGAAAUGCAAAGUAAGUUGUUUUAUGGUUGGGCGGUGUGUGGUCCUCUUGUUAAAGGCCAUAAGAUGUUAAGCAUAUUGCUAUUUAAUUUUUAAAUCAUUCUCAGUAAUAAUUCCUUUAGUAGAUUGAUGAUAAGAGAUUACAUUACAGAUGAUAACUGAGCACAAUUUUUGUAGUUGUAUCCCUGUACAUCCAUCUUAAUAUCCUCAUUAUAUUCACAUGCCUUUCACGGGUGUUAUUUCUGGAUGCUGAAUGCUUUGUUCCACUUUUGGAAACCAAAUGCUUUGUUACACAAAGCUGAGCUGGUUGAAAAGCUAGCUGAUGAGGUCAACAUGUCCCUUAAGUAAUUUGAGGAUGAACACUGUGUUCCCGAAAGUCUUACUCUAAUGAUACUUAAAAAAGCAAUGAGAAUGGAUGUUGCAGCGGCUUUACUGAACUCAACCCCAGUUCCAAACAUGGAACAUGUGAAAACCAAAAAUGCAUUGUUUUUUUUCUCUUUAUGACUUCUCUAGUUGGGGAAUGUACUAGAUAUUCACCUAAUCAGUAGGCCUUGAAGGGAUCCCAUGUUAGCCCCUUGAUGUUGGUCUGUAACUAAGUAAAUACUUGACCUUGAAAAAGCUUUUGGAGGCAUCAGUUUCUCUCUGACUGUGUGCUACUUUUUGGAUCUGUUGAUUUGGUCAUUUGCUGAUUUAUAGUUUGUUUUCUGAUUCAGGAUGGGAUAUGGCUCCAUACAUAGAG
rnacentral:lncRNA from 1 species